rnacentral:rRNA from 1 species
GGGUUGUGAGGUUAAGCGACUAAGCGUACACGGUGGAUGCCCUGGCAGUCAGAGGCGAUGAAGGACGUGCUAAUCUGCGAUAAGCGUCGGUAAGGUGAUAUGAACCGUUAUAACCGGCGAUUUCCGAAUGGGGAAACCCAGUGUGAUUCGUCACACUAUCAUUAACUGAAUCCAUAGGUUAAUGAGGCGAACCGGGGGAACUGAAACAUCUAAGUACCCCGAGGAAAAGAAAUCAACCGAGAUUCCCCCAGUAGCGGCGAGCGAACGGGGAGCAGCCCAGAGCCUGAAUCAGUGUGUGUGUUAGUGGAAGCGUCUGGAAAGGCGCGCGAUACAGGGUGACAGCCCCGUACACAAAAAUGCACAUGCUGUGAGCUCGAUGAGUAGGGCGGGACACGUGGUAUCCUGUCUGAAUAUGGGGGGACCAUCCUCCAAGGCUAAAUACUCCUGACUGACCGAUAGUGAACCAGUACCGUGAGGGAAAGGCGAAAAGAACCCCGGCGAGGGGAGUGAAAAAGAACCUGAAACCGUGUACGUACAAGCAGUGGGAGCACAGAGUAAGCUGUGUGACUGCGUACCUUUUGUAUAAUGGGUCAGCGACUUAUAUUCUGUAGCAAGGUUAACCGAAUAGGGGAGCCGAAGGGAAACCGAGUCUUAACUGGGCGUUAAGUUGCAGGGUAUAGACCCGAAACCCGGUGAUCUAGCCAUGGGCAGGUUGAAGGUUGGGUAACACUAACUGGAGGACCGAACCGACUAAUGUUGAAAAAUUAGCGGAUGACUUGUGGCUGGGGGUGAAAGGCCAAUCAAACCGGGAGAUAGCUGGUUCUCCCCGAAAGCUAUUUAGGUAGCGCCUCGUGAAUUCAUCUCCGGGGGUAGAGCACUGUUUCGGCAAGGGGGUCAUCCCGACUUACCAACCCGAUGCAAACUGCGAAUACCGGAGAAUGUUAUCACGGGAGACACACGGCGGGUGCUAACGUCCGUCGUGAAGAGGGAAACAACCCAGACCGCCAGCUAAGGUCCCAAAGUCAUGGUUAAGUGGGAAACGAUGUGGGAAGGCCCAGACAGCCAGGAUGUUGGCUUAGAAGCAGCCAUCAUUUAAAGAAAGCGUAAUAGCUCACUGGUCGAGUCGGCCUGCGCGGAAGAUGUAACGGGGCUAAACCAUGCACCGAAGCUGCGGCAGCGACGCUUAUGCGUUGUUGGGUAGGGGAGCGUUCUGUAAGCCUGUGAAGGUGUACUGUGAGGUAUGCUGGAGGUAUCAGAAGUGCGAAUGCUGACAUAAGUAACGAUAAAGCGGGUGAAAAGCCCGCUCGCCGGAAGACCAAGGGUUCCUGUCCAACGUUAAUCGGGGCAGGGUGAGUCGACCCCUAAGGCGAGGCCGAAAGGCGUAGUCGAUGGGAAACAGGUUAAUAUUCCUGUACUUGGUGUUACUGCGAAGGGGGGACGGAGAAGGCUAUGUUGGCCGGGCGACGGUUGUCCCGGUUUAAGCGUGUAGGCUGGUUUUCCAGGCAAAUCCGGAAAAUCAAGGCUGAGGCGUGAUGACGAGGCACUACGGUGCUGAAGCAACAAAUGCCCUGCUUCCAGGAAAAGCCUCUAAGCAUCAGGUAACAUCAAAUCGUACCCCAAACCGACACAGGUGGUCAGGUAGAGAAUACCAAGGCGCUUGAGAGAACUCGGGUGAAGGAACUAGGCAAAAUGGUGCCGUAACUUCGGGAGAAGGCACGCUGAUAUGUAGGUGAAGUCCCUCGCGGAUGGAGCUGAAAUCAGUCGAAGAUACCAGCUGGCUGCAACUGUUUAUUAAAAACACAGCACUGUGCAAACACGAAAGUGGACGUAUACGGUGUGACGCCUGCCCGGUGCCGGAAGGUUAAUUGAUGGGGUCAGCGCAAGCGAAGCUCUUGAUCGAAGCCCCGGUAAACGGCGGCCGUAACUAUAACGGUCCUAAGGUAGCGAAAUUCCUUGUCGGGUAAGUUCCGACCUGCACGAAUGGCGUAAUGAUGGCCAGGCUGUCUCCACCCGAGACUCAGUGAAAUUGAACUCGCUGUGAAGAUGCAGUGUACCCGCGGCAAGACGGAAAGACCCCGUGAACCUUUACUAUAGCUUGACACUGAACAUUGAGCCUUGAUGUGUAGGAUAGGUGGGAGGCUUUGAAGUGUGGACGCCAGUCUGCAUGGAGCCGACCUUGAAAUACCACCCUUUAAUGUUUGAUGUUCUAACGUUGACCCGUGAUCCGGGUUGCGGACAGUGUCUGGUGGGUAGUUUGACUGGGGCGGUCUCCUCCUAAAGAGUAACGGAGGAGCACGAAGGUUGGCUAAUCCUGGUCGGACAUCAGGAGGUUAGUGCAAUGGCAUAAGCCAGCUUGACUGCGAGCGUGACGGCGCGAGCAGGUGCGAAAGCAGGUCAUAGUGAUCCGGUGGUUCUGAAUGGAAGGGCCAUCGCUCAACGGAUAAAAGGUACUCCGGGGAUAACAGGCUGAUACCGCCCAAGAGUUCAUAUCGACGGCGGUGUUUGGCACCUCGAUGUCGGCUCAUCACAUCCUGGGGCUGAAGUAGGUCCCAAGGGUAUGGCUGUUCGCCAUUUAAAGUGGUACGCGAGCUGGGUUUAGAACGUCGUGAGACAGUUCGGUCCCUAUCUGCCGUGGGCGCUGGAGAACUGAGGGGGGCUGCUCCUAGUACGAGAGGACCGGAGUGGACGCAUCACUGGUGUUCGGGUUGUCAUGCCAAUGGCACUGCCCGGUAGCUAAAUGCGGAAGAGAUAAGUGCUGAAAGCAUCUAAGCACGAAACUUGCCCCGAGAUGAGUUCUCCCUGACUCCUUGAGAGUCCUGAAGGAACGUUGAAGACGACGACGUUGAUAGGCCGGGUGUGUAAGCGCAGCGAUGCGUUGAGCUAACCGGUACUAAUGAACCGUGAGGCUUAACCUUACAACGCCGAAGGUGUUU